rnacentral:rRNA from 1 species
UACGGGGGGAGCAAGCGUUGUUCGGAUUUACUGGGCGUAAAGGGCGCGUAGGCGGUCAGCACAAGUCAGUUGUGAAAUCUCCGGGCUUAACCCGGAAAGGUCAACUGAUACUGUGCGACUAGAGUGCGGAAGGGGCAACUGGAAUUCUCGGUGUAGCGGUGAAAUGCGUAGAUAUCGUAAGGAAGGCCGGUGGCGAAAGCGAGCCUCUGGACAGUUACUGACGCUGAUGCACGAAGGCCAGGGGAGCAAACGGG